UGGGGAAUUUUGGGCAAUGGGCGAAAGCCUGACCCAGCAACGCCGCGUGAAGGAUGAAGUAUUUCGGUAUGUAAACUUCGAAAGAAUAGGAAGAAUAAAUGACGGUACUAUUUAUAAGGUCCGGCUAACUACGUGCCAGCAGCCGCGGUAAUACGUAGGGACCAAGCGUUGUUCGGAUUUACUGGGCGUAAAGGGCGCGUAGGCGGCAAUUCAAGUCAUCUGUGAAAUCUCCGGGCUUAACUCGGAACGGUCAGAUGAUACUGCUUUGCUAGAGUGCAGAAGGGGCAAUCGGAAUUCUUGGUGUAGCGGUGAAAUGCGUAGAUAUCAAGAGGAACACCUGAGGUGAAGACGGGUUGCUGGGCUGACACUGACGCUGAGGCGCGAAAGCCAGGGGAGCAAACAGGAUUAGAUACCCGAGUAGUCCCUGAGCGGGC
rnacentral:rRNA from 1 species